CACGUCACCGCCAUCAGGUCUCCGAGGAAGUCAGCUUCUGGCCUCAAAGCUGUUCUGAAGCUCCUGGGAGGAAAAGGGAGGUGAGGUGGCAAGAGCCCUUGCGCGGGAUCAACGGACGGGGCCCCUAACUCGGUGUCUGUCACGCUUGAGGCGGCCAUGGGCACACUCGGGCAGAGGAGUGCGUUCCAGCCAGAAGCACACGGCCGCCGCCGCGGGGACCGGGGCUGCAGCUCAGUUUACCGGUCCCACCUGUCACCCGUCCGCUGCUCACUGGAAUGAGAGCCGCGAAGUGGCCGAUCCAGGGGAGUCCGACAGCUGCGCAAGACACCCUGGAUGCGAUGCGCAGCUCUGCCUUGUGUGGCUUCAAGCAAGGAAGCGGAUCUCUGCGGAGCCUGAGUCUCCCCUCUAAGUGAAGCUAAUGAGAGCGCGCCCCUCACUAGCAUAGGGACGCGAGGAAAGAACGUGACCACACGCUCACUGCCGAGCCUGCGCCAGGGACCGCUCGGCGCUCCUGCGGGCACGCGCAGCCGGGGGCUCAGCGGGGCGGGCACGCGCGGUCCCGGGCUCAGCGGGGACAGG
rnacentral:lncRNA from 1 species